rnacentral:rRNA from 1 species
UACGAAGGGGGCUAGCGUUGCUCGGAAUGACUGGGCGUAAAGGGCGCGUAGGCGGUGGACACAGUCAGGCGUGAAAUUCCUGGGCUCAACCUGGGGGCUGCGUUUGAUACGUGUUUGCUAGAGUGGGGAAGAGGGUCGUGGAAUUCCCAGUGUAGAGGUGAAAUUCGUAGAUAUUGGGAAGAACACCGGUGGCGAAGGCGGCGAUCUGGGAAGAUACUGACGCUGAGGUGCGAAAGCGUGGGGAGCGAACAGG